GUGCGGUGUCUUCCUCUUUGUUCUUCUCGCGGGUUACGUUCCUUUUGAGGAUUCAAACGUUGUUACCAUGUACCGGAAGAUCCAAGGGAGAGAUUACAAGUUCCCAAACUGGAUCUCGAAACCUGCUCGAUCCAUCAUCUACAAGUUGCUCGAUCCGAAUCCGGAAACGAGGAUGAGUAUCGAAGCUGUAACUGAAACCAAAUGGUUCAAGAAAUCCCUUGAAACCUCCGAGUUUAAAUCCAGUGUCUUGGAAUCGGAUGAUCGAUUGGGUAAAUUGACAAGUCAUACGAUCACAGCGUUUGAUUUGAUCUCGUUAUCUGCGGGAUUGGAUCUAUCGGGGCUGUUUGAGAGGAGGAAGAGGAAGGAGACCAGGUUUACUGCGACGGUUUCGGCGGAAGGAGUUGUGGAGAAGGCCAAGACGAUAGGGGAAAAGUUGGGGUUUAGAGUGGAGAAGAAGAAGGAGGCGAUGGCUUUGGGGUUGGGAAAAGGAAGAACGACGGUGAUGGUUGAGGCGGUGGAGCUGGUGGAAGGUUUGGUUGUGGCGGAGGUGAAGGUGGUGGAAGGUGAGGAGGAGGAAUCUUAUUGGUCGGAGCUUAUUGUAGAGUUUGAGGAGAUUGUGCUUUCAUGGCACAGUGACGUAUCUGUUAAAGUUGAAAGUGACUUAGCUUAACUUUGAAGAUUCAAUUUUGUAAAAGAAAUUUUAUGUAAAAUAUCAUAGAUUAGUUCAUUUUUAGAGUUAUCGAACCCUCAAAUUUUAAGAUUUUUUAGUUCUCCAUUCAAAUUUUCAAAUUCGAAGAUUUACUAGUCAAAACUACAAAACACUAUUUAAUUUUUAUUUUUAGUCUUAAUAAUUAUGUAACUUACAUAUAAUUUUACUAAUAUUGAUUUUAUAUCACUUUAAUCUUUAUAGUUAUAUUUCACUUAAAUAUUCAAAUAUAUACAUAUAUAUAUACAUAUUAUUAGUACAUUAAUUAUAUAGUUAUGUUAAAACUAAAUCAAAAUUAUUAAUAUAAAAUAACAUUAUGUAAGAUAAGAACAAUAUGUAUAUGUAAUUGAAUCAUUUUGUAACUUUUUCUUCUAGUUGAUAUACUUUCUCUUAAAAUUUAAAGAUUUGCUUGUUCGGUAAAACUAAAAUAUACAUAUAUGAGCUAUAAAUAUUGUGUUUUGAAUUGUUAGUGUGUAACUAUUAUUUAUUUACAAAAGUUUAGUACUUAUAAUUAUUAUUAGAUUAAAAUAUAAUAUAUAGAAAUAUUCAAAGAUAUACUUGAGAUGCAUUGUUGGAGUAAUCAACUUCAAAAAAUUUAUUUUGAAGAUUACUUGUUGUUGGAAACUUUUUUAGUUUAAAAAUAAAAUAAAAUAAAGAUUUGUAAAAUUUGACCUUAUUUUUAAUGGUAUAUAAGAAGAGGGGUUAAUGUAACUAGUAUCAACUUUUUAAUUAAUAUCUAAUCUAUUAAAACAGAGUCCUAUUUUUAUCUACCUAAGGAAAGUUCAUUUUAAAUUUUGGACUCUUUCGGUUUUCUUACUAGCCUACCUUAUAUAUUGGAUCUGUACAAAUUUGUUAUCGUAAUAACUAUAUACACGCUAGCUAAAUAAUAUAACCGGUUCACUUUAACUAAACCAACGUCUAAAAUACUGAAACCAUCCGAAAUUAACUGAUAUGUUAACCGGUUGACUUAAAUUAAACCAAACUCUAAUAUACUAAAACCAUCCGAACUUAGCCGAUAUAUCAUUUGCUAUUAUAAGAUCAAUAUAAUAACUCUAAUUGGACAUCAUGUUACAAUAUAUUAUCGUAACAGGUUCUCUUCAUCUCGCUACAUGCAAUAGAAAAUGUCAAAUUAUGAGUUAUUUGGUUCAUCUUUCACCAUACAGAACAUUCCAAUAGGUGAAGAAAUAAAUUUAAAACCACAAUACCACACUAUUAUCUGCAUACAAGCUACUCUCAUAUAGAGUUUUGAUCAUGUUCACCAUUUACAUUACAUAUGUUUAGUUUGAGCUAUUAAACCCAAAGAUUUAAUUAAACAUUUCCAUUCAUAUCAAUGGUCUAAUUCCAAUUUUAAAUAUAUUAGAUUAUUAUCUAUAAUAAAUCGUAGACUAAAAUAUUCUAAGCACAUCAAGAGGAGAAUUUAGCAAAUCUAAACUAACGUGUCUUGCAAACAAAAUCAUUUAUAUAUUAAUUGAGAAUCAUUUAAAAAAGUGUAACCUUAAUUUAUACUAAUUAAAAAGAGACUAUGCUUAGGUGUCACUUAAUUAAAAUGAUAACUUAGUUUAUGUGGCAGCUUAAGAAUCAAUUGAAAAAAAUAUUGGUCUAAAAUCCAAUUACUUGGAAAUAUUAUAUUAACCUAAAAUAUAAGAAACAUAUAUUCUUUCCUAAAAUAAAAGCUAUGAAAUUACCUAAUAUGAUUAACAUAUAUACGAAAAUUAAUGAUUAUUAAUAAUAAAGAUUUGAUAACAAUUUUUGCAUCAUUCUUCAUUUUUUUUUAUUUUAUAUUAUUAAAAAUUUAAAUAAUCACAUUAACCAUAAAAUAAAAAAAAAAUUAUAUUUUUUCAGAUAUGUUUUAUUUUGAAUUUUUUAAAACGACUUUAAAUUACAAAAAAAUAUUAAAAAUCCCUUUGAAAAUUUUGUGAUCAAUGACUUAAUUUUUUUUGUUAUAACAUGAUACAAAUGAUCAUAAAAUCGUAUAAAUGUGAAUUUUUAUUUAAUAGAUAUUCAUAUUAAAUAAUAUAUAUAUAUAUAUAUAUAUAAUAAUAUUAAUUUCUUUUAAAUUAAACUAUGUACCAUUUAAACAUACAUAAAUAUGUUAAUUUUGAAAUUUGCAUUGAAAGAGUAUUGGGACCUUAAUAUAUUAAUUUUGAAAUUUGCCUAGAACCAAUAUGAACCAUCAUCAUUUUCUUAAAUGGGCAUAGAACCAUUUUUAAUGAUUAACUAAAAGGAUCACGUACAUAGUAAAAUGUGUUUUUGUUUAAAAAUUAUUGCAUAUCCAAAAUCAAUAUGAACCAUCAUCAUCGUUUAUUUUUUUUUCACAAUAUAAAUAUAGGGUUGGACAAAAAAUUUGAAUCCAUAAAAAUCGAACCAAGGCCGAUCCAAAGAAUAAUACUGAACUUUAACAAAAAAUGGUUAGAUAUCUGAAUGGGUUCAAAAUAUUGGUAUCUAGAGAACAUGAACCGAACCCGAUCCAAACCUUAAGAUUUUAGGUAUCUGAAUAUGUCCGAACAAGAUUUAUAUACUUAAAUAUAUUUAUUAUUUUUAAAUUUAAUAUCUAAAAGAAUAUACAGAAUAUAUAAAACGUUUUUAAGUUGUCCAGAAAACUUGGAAAUAUAUACAAAUAGCUAUAAGUACAUGUUUAAAAUAACUAAACGAUACUUAUAAUACCUAAAAUACUUAAAAUAUCUAUUGAUUUCCAAACCAAAUAUUUAAGCUAAACCAAUUUUUAUGUUAAGUUUAAGUAUUUUGGCAUACAUUAUUCAAAUUUAUAUGUUAUAUAAUAUUUUUAUUUUUAGAUUUUGAAAACUUUAAAGUAUAUAUGAACUUUAAUUUUUGAAAAAAAUUAAAUAGGUUAUCCAAAGUCAAACUCAAACCAAACCCGCAAAAAUCCGAACCAAACUAAACCCUCAAGGAUCUGAAUGGAACCAAAUGGUACUUAAUGUCCAGCUCUAAUCAAAUGUAAAAAAAGUUAUUGAUAACAAAAUGUAUAUUGUUUAUAAUAUUUAAUUACAAUAUAUUUUAAAAAAAAAAUCAUUCCGCGCAAGGCGCGGAGUAUCAUCUAGUUAUUAUUAAAUGCUAAGACGUGUAACACUUGUGCGGACUUAUAUAUAUAUAUACCAAACAAACUUGAUUUUUAAAAAUAGCUUAUUUUAUUUAAAUCUUAGUUAUUAAAUUAAAUAAAAUAUUAAAUUGAUAUUAGAAAUUAUCAAAGUUCAAUAUCUAUAUUAACAAUUGUUGAAUUAAAUUCCCUUUUUUAUUUCAUAAAAUUUUAUGUUUAUAUAUGUCGGUGUAAAUGAUACAUGAAAUUCUACAUUAACACACAAAAUAUCUGGCACAACAUUAGAGACAUUUCCAUUACAUCUGCUCCAAUGAAACAAAAGUUGACGACCACCAUCAAGAUCGUCCUCACAAUGAUGAACUUUCAUCAUUAAGCUAUGACACCCAAGAAAAUAUCACUUUGGAGUGGUUUCAACAGAAUUAAUCUUGUAAAACUUAACCCCAUUUCUCAUAUAGAAAAUAUAAAACUUUAUAUAAACUAAAUACAAUUUCAACCCACAUUUCUAGCUAUAACCAAAAAAAAAAUCUAACAAGCACAACAUACAUCAUUCGAUAUAUUUAAUCCAUGAAUAGAUUUUAUUGGAUCAAAAUAUUCUUUGCUAAUAUCCAAACCAUCAUUAAACAAUUUUUAUUAGAAAUCUUAAUGGUGUUGAAGGCAUUAGAAACAUUCACAACUCCUAAAACAACAACAAAAUAAAAACAACUAAUAAACAUUAUAUAUUGUCAACAAUUUAUAUCUUAGAAACUAUGAUAUAUAUAAAACUACAGAUUAAUACAUAUGUAUUCUCGCACACAAACAAACAAAGGAACACAUAAAACAGACGAUGCCCCAUUAGAUUUAAAGAAAUCAGAUAUUUGCUUAACUUACCGAGGCCACAACAUACAUGUUAAACGCAUACCACUGAAUAUUAAAACUUCAAAUCAAUCUCAUGCCAAAAAAUAACACAAUUUAAAAUUAAGCGCUCAAUAAAACAUAUUUUAUGUCAUGAAUAGUUAAUUCUAAAUUAAAUAUAUAUAUGCUAAAAUUGGUUUAAUACUAAUAAACCAUAUAUACCUAGAUAAGCCUAACUAUGAAAUUUUCGCUUAAAUUUUGUUAAUAUCCAUUAAUUAAUAUCCAUUAAUUAUCCUGAACAGAAUGACAAUAUACAUAAAGAUCGUUUAAGUUUACUAUUACUAAAAUAAAUAUAAGAACAUUAAUUAAUGAUAUUAUCGAUAGAAUUUUCUAAUAUCCAUUAAUUAUCCUAAAUAAUAGUUUGUGUCAAUAUUUCCUGAAAUAACUAAAAUAGUUUAUUAAAACAAAUGGAGAACAUGACAAAUCAGUCAUUUCUUAAAUAAUAGUGGUAGAAUUUGUUAUAUUCAUUAAUUAUCUCAAAUAUUUGUUCGGUAUCAUUAUAUCCUAAAUUCACUAAAAUUGUUUGUCAAAAGUAGACUCGGCCUAAAAUUAUGGAAAACAUGAUAAUUCAGUUAAAUUAUUUUUUAAAUAACAGUAUUGAUAUAUUCAGAUAAAAGAAACAAAAAACAUAAACUGGACAAAAUAAAAGACGUUUUAACCUAUACUAGGAGAUUGUCCCUCCGUGUUAUUGCUGACACCUCUGCUUCUUUCACCGAGGCCUUAGCAUCAUGGCGGUAGCUUCAGCCUCCUCAAACUUAUCCGGCCAAGUGUAGCUACUCUGGUGGAAACUAACAAGUGAGCUGUGGGAAUGUGACCCAUAUUGAUCCAUUGUUAACAUUACCAGGGCCGUUUUAGUCAUCAAGGACAAUCUCUUGUAACUGUUUUGGCAUGCUGUGAGACCUUUCAAACCAAAGAUACCACAAUAUAACAAUCAUCCCCCCCCCACAGUUCUCUAGCGGAGGUUCACCUGAGAAGACUUAUAACAUGAUCACAUUGAAGAGACUCUGAUGCUUAAUUGUGAUGUCUAUUUUGCACCACGACAAAACCGGAAACGAGAGAGCGAGUGUCCAAUACCAGUUGUACCUAAAAUGCAUAUGAUGACUAACAAUCUACAUCAUAGAUAACAUACAAAGAGAAGUCUUUUCACACUCUCGGCUCAUUGGAAAGGCAACAUGGAUAUCAAAACUGCAGCCAAAGAGAGAAUUCUGAAGAAAGAAAUUUUUUUUGCCAACAAAAAUUUAAACUAUUACGAACUAGUUAUCAACUAAGUCCAAACUAGUGUAAAUUUUCAACAUAGUACGCAACAGAAGGAGAACGUUGAGAAUCAUGCGAUAAUUUAUCCGCUAUUGUGUUUCUUGCUCUAGGAAUAUGUUGGAUUUAAAAGUGAGAGAAGAAUUUCUUACAUAGUUGAGUCUCCUCCAUUUGGGGUGCGAAUGCUGGCUAUUUUGUCGGUAUAUACACUAUCUUCACCAACUGAGAAUAUUCAGUAGCAAAUCUCACCUCCGAGAACUGUAGGGCCGUCAUGCACUCCAUGACCCAAAUAAAAGCUUCACAUUCUGCAUGUAAAGAUGUCUAACUGGGAAAUUCAUUGACCCAAUAAUCUUGUCAUUUGAAACUCUUGUGCACGAAAACCAUCCUUGUCAUGAAAACUUAUCUUGUGAACUCAGAUGAUCCAUCUACAUAACACCAUCACAUAUCUCCUUCUUGUUGUCCCGUUUGCGAGCAAUAUGUAUCAUCUAGAUUUUUUAACAUUGUUAAUUUGUGCUUUAGUUGACUGUUUUCUCUUUAUUUCUGCUAGACGCAAGAUCUCUUAUGGGUUUCCAUUUUUGUUUUUUAUAGUUCUAGUCAUUUCUAUUUUUCCAAAUGUACCAUAAAAUCCAUAGAAAAUAAUUGAAAUCAUGAUCUUUAGGAAGUUUCCAAAACAAAUAAUCCAUGUUCACGAAUAUCAAUGAUACUGGAAAAACUCAUGGAUUAGAUGAAAUUUGUGACAUCACCCAUAUUUGAAUUGUUGUGGACAUUCAAAUAAGAUGUGAUUAAUUGAUUUCUCAUCUGCUCCACAUAUACUGAAUUCAUCUUGACUUUAAAGCCUUAGUAAUUGGUAAAUAUCAUGAUAAUGCUUGCCAAACAAAAUGUUUAAAUUUUGGACAGAAUUGAAGCUUCCAAGUGUACACCAAAAAUGGUUUAGUUUUUGGACCAUAAUACUAUGUGUUUGUAUACAUAUCCAGGUACAAUUUUCUGUUUUAUAUCUUGAUUUCACUGUAUAAAACAGAAAAUUGUAGCCAUACUUUGAAUGAUUUGAAUGGAUGACAUUAUAUAAUACUUUGAAUGAUGUCAUCCAUAUGUAUCUAGUUUAGAAGUUCGACUCAUAGCCAUACUUUGAAUGAUUUUCACAUAUUUGUAUUUAUUACGACUUUGUAUUUUCUCAUCUCUUACAGGCUACGAACCAUUGUCCAUUGGUAAAGCUUUGUUUGAUUAUACAUACUUGAUAGAUGAGUUUGCAAGUAAAACUGCAAGAAGAGCUAUAUUUCAAAAAUAAUGUAAUAUUAUGUUUGUUUUUUGAUAUUGUUUGAUAUUAUUAUUUUAAGUUAUUUUUACAUUGAGUUGCUGGGGCCAAUUUUUUUUUUUGGACAACAGGGGCCAAUUUUUUUUCCCUCGCUUCUAGUCUUGUAAAUGUCAGGCACGGCCCUGACGUCAUGACACAAACGUAGUCUGAGUGUCCAAAAUCAGCUUUGGAAGUCCUUCAGUCUCUCACAAAGUACCUUCAAAGUAAUUUUAUUUAAACUAAAUGGCCGUAGCUCCAUCAUAUGAUUUGGCCUAACCUUUUUUAGAAAUCAAAUAAAUAUUAGUUAUAUUUAAUCUUUUAUCAAAUGAUUUCGAGUGUAGAAAAAUGUUAACUAUAACAACAACAUCUACUUCAAUGACUGACCACGAUUGUUGGAAAAAGGCUAUCAUGCCAUCCGAAUCUGCCGCGCGUCGCUACUUCCAGCAGCUAGCCUCCGCGCUAACCUUCUGCCACCGAGAAGGAAUCGCUCACCGCGACGUGAAGCCGCAGAAUCUCCUCCUCGAUAAGCAAGGAAACCUCAAGGUCUCCGACUUCGGUUUAUCGGCUCUCCCGGAGCACCGUAGCAGCACCGGAUUGCUCCAAACAUCGUGCGGCACACCGGCUUACACAGCUCCGGAGGUGAUCGCUCAGAAGUCAUACGACGGAGCUAAGGCGGAUUCGUGGUCGUGCGGUGUCUUCCUCUUUGUUCUUCUCGCGGGUUACGUUCCUUUUGAGGAUUCAAACGUUGUUACCAUGUACCGGAAGAUCCAAGGGAGAGAUUACAAGUUCCCAAACUGGAUCUCGAAACCUGCUCGAUCCAUCAUCUACAAGUUGCUCGAUCCGAAUCCGGAAACGAGGAUGAGUAUCGAAGCUGUAACUGAAACCAAAUGGUUCAAGAAAUCCCUUGAAACCUCCGAGUUUAAAUCCAGUGUCUUGGAAUCGGAUGAUCGAUUGGGUAAAUUGACAAGUCAUACGAUCACAGCGUUUGAUUUGAUCUCGUUAUCUGCGGGAUUGGAUCUAUCGGGGCUGUUUGAGAGGAGGAAGAGGAAGGAGACCAGGUUUACUGCGACGGUUUCGGCGGAAGGAGUUGUGGAGAAGGCCAAGACGAUAGGGGAAAAGUUGGGGUUUAGAGUGGAGAAGAAGAAGGAGGCGAUGGCUUUGGGGUUGGGAAAAGGAAGAACGACGGUGAUGGUUGAGGCGGUGGAGCUGGUGGAAGGUUUGGUUGUGGCGGAGGUGAAGGUGGUGGAAGGUGAGGAGGAGGAAUCUUAUUGGUCGGAGCUUAUUGUAGAGUUUGAGGAGAUUGUGCUUUCAUGGCACAGUGACGUAUCUGUAAAAGUUGAAAGUGACUUAGCUUAACUUUGAAGAUUCAAUUUUGUAAAAGAAAUUUUAUGUAAAAUAUCAUAGAUUAGUUCAUUUUUAGAGUUAUCGAACCCUCAAAUUUUAAGAUUUUUUAGUUCUCCAUUCAAAUUUUCAAAUUCGAAGAUUUACUAGUCAAAACUACAAAACACUAUUUAAUUUUUAUUUUUAGUCUUAAUAAUUAUGUAACUUACAUAUAAUUUUACUAAUAUUGAUUUUAUAUCACUUUAAUCUUUAUAGUUAUAUUUCACUUAAAUAUUCAAAUAUAUACAUAUAUAUAUACAUAUUAUUAGUACAUUAAUUAUAUAGUUAUGUUAAAACUAAAUCAAAAUUAUUAAUAUAAAAUAACAUUAUGUAAGAUAAGAACAAUAUGUAUAUGUAAUUGAAUCAUUUUGUAACUUUUUCUUCUAGUUGAUAUACUUUCUCUUAAAAUUUAAAGAUUUGCUUGUUCGGUAAAACUAAAAUAUACAUAUAUGAGCUAUAAAUAUUGUGUUUUGAAUUGUUAGUGUGUAACUAUUAUUUAUUUACAAAAGUUUAGUACUUAUAAUUAUUAUUAGAUUAAAAUAUAAUAUAUAGAAAUAUUCAAAGAUAUACUUGAGAUGCAUUGUUGGAGUAAUCAACUUCAAAAAAUUUAUUUUGAAGAUUACUUGUUGUUGGAAACUUUUUUAGUUUAAAAAUAAAAUAAAAUAAAGAUUUGUAAAAUUUGACCUUAUUUUUAAUGGUAUAUAAGAAGAGGGGUUAAUGUAACUAGUAUCAACUUUUUAAUUAAUAUCUAAUCUAUUAAAACAGAGUCCUAUUUUUAUCUACCUAAGGAAAGUUCAUUUUAAAUUUUGGACUCUUUCGGUUUUCUUACUAGCCUACCUUAUAUAUUGGAUCUGUACAAAUUUGUUAUCGUAAUAACUAUAUACACGCUAGCUAAAUAAUAUAACCGGUUCACUUUAACUAAACCAACGUCUAAAAUACUGAAACCAUCCGAAAUUAACUGAUAUGUUAACCGGUUGACUUAAAUUAAACCAAACUCUAAUAUACUAAAACCAUCCGAACUUAGCCGAUAUAUCAUUUGCUAUUAUAAGAUCAAUAUAAUAACUCUAAUUGGACAUCAUGUUACAAUAUAUUAUCGUAACAGGUUCUCUUCAUCUCGCUACAUGCAAUAGAAAAUGUCAAAUUAUGAGUUAUUUGGUUCAUCUUUCACCAUACAGAACAUUCCAAUAGGUGAAGAAAUAAAUUUAAAACCACAAUACCACACUAUUAUCUGCAUACAAGCUACUCUCAUAUAGAGUUUUGAUCAUGUUCACCAUUUACAUUACAUAUGUUUAGUUUGAGCUAUUAAACCCAAAGAUUUAAUUAAACAUUUCCAUUCAUAUCAAUGGUCUAAUUCCAAUUUUAAAUAUAUUAGAUUAUUAUCUAUAAUAAAUCGUAGACUAAAAUAUUCUAAGCACAUCAAGAGGAGAAUUUAGCAAAUCUAAACUAACGUGUCUUGCAAACAAAAUCAUUUAUAUAUUAAUUGAGAAUCAUUUAAAAAAGUGUAACCUUAAUUUAUACUAAUUAAAAAGAGACUAUGCUUAGGUGUCACUUAAUUAAAAUGAUAACUUAGUUUAUGUGGCAGCUUAAGAAUCAAUUGAAAAAAAUAUUGGUCUAAAAUCCAAUUACUUGGAAAUAUUAUAUUAACCUAAAAUAUAAGAAACAUAUAUUCUUUCCUAAAAUAAAAGCUAUGAAAUUACCUAAUAUGAUUAACAUAUAUACGAAAAUUAAUGAUUAUUAAUAAUAAAGAUUUGAUAACAAUUUUUGCAUCAUUCUUCAUUUUUUUUUAUUUUAUAUUAUUAAAAAUUUAAAUAAUCACAUUAACCAUAAAAUAAAAAAAAAAUUAUAUUUUUUCAGAUAUGUUUUAUUUUGAAUUUUUUAAAACGACUUUAAAUUACAAAAAAAUAUUAAAAAUCCCUUUGAAAAUUUUGUGAUCAAUGACUUAAUUUUUUUUGUUAUAACAUGAUACAAAUGAUCAUAAAAUCGUAUAAAUGUGAAUUUUUAUUUAAUAGAUAUUCAUAUUAAAUAAUGAAUAUAUAUUAAUACACUUUAAAUAACUAUGCACCAUUUAAAAAUACAUAAAUAUGUUAAUUUAAAAUUUGCAUUGCAAGAGUAUUGAGACUUUAAUAUUUUAAUUUUGAAAUUUGCCUAGAACCGAUAUGAACCAUCAUAAUUUUCUUAAAUGGGUCUAGAACAGUUUUUGAUGAUUAACUAAAUAGACCACGUACAUAGUAAAAUGUGUUUUGGUUUAAAAAUUGUUGCAUACCAAAAAUUAAUAUGAACCAUCAUCAUUUUCGUCUAAACUUUUGUCACAGUAAAAGAAUAAGGUUGGAAAAAAAGUCAGAAUCCAUAAAAACCGAACCAAGGCCGAUCCAAAGAAUAAUACUGAACUUUAACCAAAAUUGGUUAGAUAUCCGAAUGGAUUCAAAAUUUUGGUAUUUAGAGAACCGGAACCGAACCCAAUCCAAACAUAAUAUUUUAGCUAUCCAAAUAUAUAUGAACAAGAUUGAUAUACUUAAAUAUAUUAAUUAUUUUUAAAUUUAAUAUCUAAAAGAAUAUACAAAAUAUAUAAGACGUUUUUAAGUUGUCCAAAAUACUUGGAAAUAUAUACACAUAGUUAUAAGUACAUGUUUAAAAUAUCUAAAUAAUACUUAUAAUACCUAAAAUACUUAAAAUAUCUAUUAUAUCCAAAUAGUUAAGCUAAACCAAUUUUUAUGUUAAGUUUAAGUAUUUUGGUAUAUAUUAUUCAAAUUUAUAUGUUAUAUAUUAUUUUUAUUUUUAGAUUUUGAAAAAUUUAAAGUAUAUAUGAACUUUCAUUUUUGAAAAAAAAAUUAAAUAGGUUAUCCGAAUUUCCAAACUCGAAUCAAAUCCGCAAAAAAAAAGCCGAACCAAAUCCGAAAAAAUCCGAACUAAACCCUCAAGGAUCCGAAUCGAACCAAACGGUACUUAAAUGUACACCUCUAAUCAAAUGUAAAAAAGUUAUUGAUGAGAAAAUGUAUAUUAUUUAUAAUAAUUAAAUAUAAUAUAUUUUUUUAAAAGUAAUAAUCCCGCGCAGGGCGCGGGUUAUCAUCUAGUUGAAUACUAUAAAGCAUGUGACUGCUUUACUACUGCUCUAAAAAAUUCUAACUUGUGGAACACAUAUUUUGCAGUAAUAGAUAUUUACAUUACUGCUGUGCACAAAAAAAUAAAAAUAAAGAUAUCUAAUAUAUUAAAACAGAAGUCAUGACUUUUUUUCAUGUGUGAUUUUUUUAGUUUGGACCAUUCCUAGAAAAUAUCAUAUUUUACAUAAGUUCAUUAUUAUACCUUUUAAUAUCUUUUAUCUUUUUAUUUGAAAUACAAAUAGAUAUAUUUAAAAUGUUCUAACAAAAUCUUUUUGAAAUCUUCUUAGAAUCUUUGUGAAUUUACUUUUGAAAAUUUGUUAGUUUUAAUUUAAAUUAUCAUAAAAUAUAAUUAGAAAUUAAAAUUGAAUAUAGUUUUGGUUUAUAAACGAAAAUUUAAAUAAAAUGAAAUUAAUUAAUUUCAAAAAUACAUUUACUAAUAAUUUUUAAAGAUUUUGUUAGAAAUAAAUAUUUAUUUCUAUUUUAAUUUUUUCAAAUUUGUUUUCUAAUAAAAUAAAAAUCAUGAUUUUUUGAUGAAUGAUAUUUUUAUUUGGACCAUCAUUUAAAUUUUCUAUUAAAUGUAUAUCACUAAUGCUAAUAUAUAUAAUAUUNNNNNNNNNNNNNNNNNNNNNNNNNNNNNNNNNNNNNNNNNNNNNNNNNNNNNNNNNNNNNNNNNNNNNNNNNNNNNNNNNNNNNNNNNNNNNNNNNNNNNNNNNNNNNNNNNNNNNNNNNNNNNNNNNNNNNNNNNNNNNNNNNNNNNNNNNNNNNNNNNNNNNNNNNNNNNNNNNNNNNNNNNNNNNNNNNNNNNNNNNNNNNNNNNNNNNNNNNNNNNNNNNNNNNNNNNNNNNNNNNNNNNNNNNNNNNNNNNNNNNNNNNNNNNNNNNNNNNNNNNNNNNNNNNNNNNNNNNNNNNNNNNNNNNNNNNNNNNNNNNNNNNNNNNNNNNNNNNNNNNNNNNNNNNNNNNNNNNNNNNNNNNNNNNNNNNNNNNNNNNNNNNNNNNNNNNNNNNNNNNNNNNNNNNNNNNNNNNNNNNNNNNNNNNNNNNNNNNNNNNNNNNNNNNNNNNNNNNNNNNNNNNNNNNNNNNNNNNNNNNNNNNNNNNNNNNNNNNNNNNNNNNNNNNNNNNNNNNNNNNNNNNNNNNNNNNNNNNNNNNNNNNNNNNNNNNNNNNNNNNNNNNNNNNNNNNNNNNNNNNNNNNNNNNNNNNNNNNNNNNNNNNNNNNNNNNNNNNNNNNNNNNNNNNNNNNNNNNNNNNNNNNNNNNNNNNNNNNNNNNNNNNNNNNNNNNNNNNNNNNNNNNNNNNNNNNNNNNNNNNNNNNNNNNNNNNNNNNNNNNNNNNNNNNNNNNNNNNNNNNNNNNNNNNNNNNNNNNNNNNNNNNNNNNNNNNNNNNNNNNNNNNNNNNNNNNNNNNNNNNNNNNNNNNNNNNAACUCCACCAAUCUGAUCUACCUUACUCCAGUUUCCACACAGUUCUCUAGCGGAGGUUCACCUGAGAAGACUUAUAACAUGAUCACAUUGAAGAGACUCUGAUGCUUAAUUGUGAUGUCUAUUUUGCACCACGACAAAACCGGAAACGAGAGAGCGAGUGUCCAAUACCAGUUGUACCUAAAAUGCAUAUGAUGACUAACAAUCUACAUCAUAGAUAACAUACAAAGAGAAGUCUUUUCACACUCUCGGCUCAUUGGAAAGGCAACAUGGAUAUCAAAACUGCAGCCAAAGAGAGAAUUCUGAAGAAAGAAAUUUUUUUUGCCAACAAAAAUUUAAACUAUUACGAACUAGUUAUCAACUAAGUCCAAACUAGUGUAAAUUUUCAACAUAGUACGCAACAGAAGGAGAACGUUGAGAAUCAUGCGAUAAUUUAUCCGCUAUUGUGUUUCUUGCUCUAGGAAUAUGUUGGAUUUAAAAGUGAGAGAAGAAUUUCUUACAUAGUUGAGUCUCCUCCAUUUGGGGUGCGAAUGCUGGCUAUUUUGUCGGUAUAUACACUAUCUUCACCAACUGAGAAUAUUCAGUAGCAAAUCUCACCUCCGAGAACUGUAGGGCCGUCAUGCACUCCAUGACCCAAAUAAAAGCUUCACAUUCUGCAUGUAAAGAUGUCUAACUGGGAAAUUCAUUGACCCAAUAAUCUUGUCAUUUGAAACUCUUGUGCACGAAAACCAUCCUUGUCAUGAAAACUUAUCUUGUGAACUCAGAUGAUCCAUCUACAUAACACCAUCACAUAUCUCCUUCUUGUUGUCCCGUUUGCGAGCAAUAUGUAUCAUCUAGAUUUUUUAACAUUGUUAAUUUGUGCUUUAGUUGACUGUUUUCUCUUUAUUUCUGCUAGACGCAAGAUCUCUUAUGGGUUUCCAUUUUUGUUUUUUAUAGUUCUAGUCAUUUCUAUUUUUCCAAAUGUACCAUAAAAUCCAUAGAAAAUAAUUGAAAUCAUGAUCUUUAGGAAGUUUCCAAAACAAAUAAUCCAUGUUCACGAAUAUCAAUGAUACUGGAAAAACUCAUGGAUUAGAUGAAAUUUGUGACAUCACCCAUAUUUGAAUUGUUGUGGACAUUCAAAUAAGAUGUGAUUAAUUGAUUUCUCAUCUGCUCCACAUAUACUGAAUUCAUCUUGACUUUAAAGCCUUAGUAAUUGGUAAAUAUCAUGAUAAUGCUUGCCAAACAAAAUGUUUAAAUUUUGGACAGAAUUGAAGCUUCCAAGUGUACACCAAAAAUGGUUUAGUUUUUGGACCAUAAUACUAUGUGUUUGUAUACAUAUCCAGGUACAAUUUUCUGUUUUAUAUCUUGAUUUCACUGUAUAAAACAGAAAAUUGUAGCCAUACUUUGAAUGAUUUGAAUGGAUGACAUUAUAUAAUACUUUGAAUGAUGUCAUCCAUAUGUAUCUAGUUUAGAAGUUCGACUCAUAGCCAUACUUUGAAUGAUUUUCACAUAUUUGUAUUUAUUACGACUUUGUAUUUUCUCAUCUCUUACAGGCUACGAACCAUUGUCCAUUGGUAAAGCUUUGUUUGAUUAUACAUACUUGAUAGAUGAGUUUGCAAGUAAAACUGCAAGAAGAGCUAUAUUUCAAAAAUAAUGUAAUAUUAUGUUUGUUUUUUGAUAUUGUUUGAUAUUAUUAUUUUAAGUUAUUUUUACAUUGAGUUGCUGGGGCCAAUUUUUUUUUUUGGACAACAGGGGCCAAUUUUUUUUCCCUCGCUUCUAGUCUUGUAAAUGUCAGGCACGGCCCUGACGUCAUGACACAAACGUAGUCUGAGUGUCCAAAAUCAGCUUUGGAAGUCCUUCAGUCUCUCACAAAGUACCUUCAAAGUAAUUUUAUUUAAACUAAAUGGCCGUAGCUCCAUCAUAUGAUUUGGCCUAACCUUUUUUAGAAAUCAAAUAAAUAUUAGUUAUAUUUAAUCUUUUAUCAAAUGAUUUCGAGUGUAGAAAAAUGUUAACUAUAACAACAACAUCUACUUCAAUGACUGACCACGAUUGUUGGAAAAAGGCUAUCAUGCCAUCCAGUCCUGAGUUUUUUGGAUACAUUAUCAUAAAUAAUGUUGAUUUCACGUUAUCCUUAAUUGCGAUAGAAGCUAAUCUAGUAAUUUUAUUAACCAUAAUCAACUCUAGAAACCUCGUUAAAAUUUCUUCAAAAAGCCAGAGUAGAGACAUCGACUGAAAUAAAUCAUUAAAAUACUUAAUCGUAACCCCUUCCACCUUCGAUUCCGAGGUGACCCAAGUGUAAAACAACUAUUUUAUUAGAAUUAAAUCAACAUAUUUAAUAUACAUACAAGAAUAACAUAUUUAAUAUCAUAACGAAUGUAAACGACAAAAAAAAACCUAAGUGGAAGACUAGAAGUAACUGCAAUGAAGAAAGAAAUCAAUGAGACAACUUCCAUUAUCAUUAAUGUCUCAUUGAUUAUAUAUAUAUUAGUUAGGAUUAUAUAUAAAUUGAUAAAAAAAAUGAUGUCACUGUAUGAGAAUUCUUGAAAAACCCUAGCCGCUCUAAGGCGAUCUAAAGGCGAUGGCGACUUCUGAGAUCGAGAUCUUCAUUGGGAUUUCGAUCUUCCUCCGAUCUAAACGUUCUUUGACGUUAGAUUGGCCAGCAUCUCAUCUCUCUCACCUGCGGAAUCAGUUUCUCUCAUCCGGAGUGGAGUUGUUCUUCGUGACGUCUUUAGCAAGGAAGCUGCUUUGGUUUCGUAUGAACCUUGGUGAAUACUUUCCGGUUUCUUCACUUAUUUUAGGAUCUGGUGUCUUUGAUCUGAUCAUACAUCAGGCUCUUGGUAUACUGGCUCUUUGGCUUGUCCCUUACUGAUUAUCUCUCGAUCUGUUACGAUCAUAGCAGAGUCUACGGAUCUGUUUAAUCCUUCAACAUGGGAUCAUUCAAUCGCUUCAGUUCUGCUCGUAUGGCAGACAACAAAGGAAAGGGUAAUCUUUUAGAGGAUGAGGAUGAACCCAUCCGGCUGGUAGAUGACGAGGAUCCUCACACCAUCCGAGAGUACCGUAUGUCUUUGAUCGGCAAAGUGUUGAACCCAAAGAAACAGAAUGUUGAGAAACUAAUCAGUCACAUGCCGACUCAAUGGGGAGUGCAAGAUAGAGUCACAGCCGACGAUUUAGGCAACGGAAAGUUCUUGUUCAACUUCUCCUCUGAGGAGGAUAUAAUAUCGGUGCUGCAACAGGGUCCUUUUCAUUAUAAUUUAUGUAUGUUCGUGUUGGUUCAUUGGGAGCCUAUUGUUCAUGAUGAAUAUCCCUGGAUAAUUCCCUUUUGGGUUGAGAUUAAUGGAAUACCGCUCCAUCUAUGGACUGUCAAGAAUCUGAGAAGUAUUGGUGGUAAGCGAGGAUACAUAGAUACAAUGGAGCUCUCAGCGGGUAGGCUGCUAGUUGAUGUUGAUACCAGGAAGCCUCUGAUUUUUACAAAGAAAGCUAGUUCGCCAGAAGGAGAUGAGGUCUCGAUCCAUUUCACUUACGAUAAGUUGUUUAAACACUGUAAGUACUGUGGUUUCCUGUCUCAUGAAGAAGCUCUCUGCCCAAAGAAACAAGAAGACCUUCGUCAAAAAUCAAAGCAGACAUGUGUUUUCUCCAGGGUUCAACUACCUACGGACUCACACUCCCAUCAACCUUUGUUGAGGGAUUCUCAUGAACGUGAUCGUUACCAUGACCAUGUGGAUCGCAAUAUGAACUUGCGUAAUGCUUAUACCCGAGCAGGAUAUGAGGCUUCAAACCGUGGUUAUUGCCCAGAUAGACAUUCUCGCAGACAAGAGGGGAACAGAUGGAGUCGGCCUGUAUCUCGGCAUAGCCACCGUUAUGCUCCGUAUGAGCAUACGAAACAACUUACUUGGCGUGGAAAGAACAAAUAUGUGGAGCAGAAGGGUGAUGAAUCUUUCGUCAAGAACAAUGAGAAUCACGCGUCAAAGAACCAAGGUUUAAUGCCUUCCUCGUCUUAUAUUGGUCAAAAGGAGCAGCCACAUGAUAAACGUUCCAGUGGCAAGAAGAUAGCAAGCACCAUUUUCACACCCUCUCGUGAUGAAUCUACUAACGAUGAUAACGUAACAUUUCGUUAUAAGGGUAUAACACGAGCCAUUGACGUUUCUCACACCGCGAAUGUUGUGUCUAAUGAUGAGGAAGAAGGUCAAAUUCUUGGUGCACUGCAAGAUAUGGAUAUGGGAGAGGCGGCUAUCAUUGUAGCCCCACAACAAGAAGCAUGGAUGGAAUGUGAUGGUCAAUCUGAUGAUUUACUUGGAGAGGAGUUAAAUGAACUGGAAAUGGUGCCCUCUUCUCAUCAAGUUGAUCAGGGUUCAACGGAGGCUGUCAAAAAGACCAGUGGUAAACGAUCAACCUCAAGUAAAGGUACUUCACGUUCUAGAGUUCCACACGGCCUACCCAGCAAAAAGGCUGAGUUCUUCUGUCGGGGAUCUCCAAGGAAGCGCAAUGCUAUUUCCAUUGGUUUACCUCCUUAUGGGGAAACAGACGAACAUGGUCAACCACGUCCCAGUAGUUCGAAGAAAGCUAAAGCAAGUUCGCGGCAUAGUAGGGGUUUGGAGGGGCCUCAAAAACCUCCUGAUUUCAUCCAUGAAGACACUCAGUUGGAACUGUCGAGGGAUUGGGAACGACCUCACAGUUCAACGCCUUACGGAGAUGUGUCAGAAGCAUCGCCCAAGACUUAUGUUUCUUUCUGAGACGAAAAAUAGGAGGCUGCUGUUGCAAAACAUUCAGGCCGACUUAGGAUUAGAUCAUUUGUUUACUUUUGAGCCACUUGGAUGCAGCAGAGGUUUAGCUUUAUUUUUUAUGAAUGAGUUUCAAGUUAAUGUUUUAUUUUCGAAUAAUCGUAUGAUUGACAUUGAGGCAGUCAUUGAUGGAAUAAAAGUCUAUAUGACGUUUGUUUUAUGGGGAUCAUGUACUAGAGAGACGAGAUCAAGUUUGGGAACGUCUUACGCGUUUCUCAACAACGAGAUCUGGACCUUGGUUUAUGAUAGAAGAUUUAAAUGAAAUUACAGGUCACAAUGAAAAAGAGGGGGGAAGACAACGUCCUGAUAGUUCAUUUUUUUCCUUUUAAGCAGAUGCAUAAUGAUUGUGGGAUGUUAGAGUUUCCUUUCACGGGGGACAUGCUCUCAUGGGUAGGGAAGAAAGCAGGCGGAACAACUGUUCGAUGUCGCCUGGAUAGAGCAGUAGGAAAUCCGGAUUGGCAUGAGAAGUUUCUCCACUCGACUGUCAAGUAUAUGAGGUUAUGGGGAUCGGACCAUCGUCCGAUUUUUGCAGAUAUACUCAUCAAGCCAAUGAGGAAAUCAAAAAAAAUUCAAGUUUGAUAAAAGAUGGCUAGAUAACGAGGAGCUAAGGCAGGUCAUUCUUGAGGGAUGAAAAUCUCCUGAUCUUCCUCCCAAUGCGAAUAUCAUGGAACAUAUUUCUAGUUGCCGAAAAGCUUUAAGCGAAUGGAGGAGACAGCAUAAUGUUAACUCGGCAAGAUUGGUGGAGGUGCUUAAAGAAAAAGUGGAGGGUCUGUAUGCAGAUGACAAUGCUACAGCUGAGGAAAUUGCAGCAGCGUUGAAGGAACUUUCCGAUGCUCUUAAGGCAGAAGAAAUGUUCUGGAAACAGAAGACUCGAGUGUUUUGGCUGAGAGAAGGAGACAAAAAUACAAAAUUUUUCCAUGCCUUAACUAAGCAAAGAAGAGCGAGGAAUAAAAUUGCGCAGCUCCAAGAUGCAACUAGAAAUAUAGUUGAGGAUGAAGAAGGAUUAGUAGCCAUUGCUACUAGCUACUUUAGACAGAUCUUCGAGUCGUCUAACCCAGAGGACAUUGAAGAGGCACUAGCUCAAGUUCCUACGACGAUCACUGGGGUAAUGAACGACAACCUUACGACUCCGGUCUCCGAAUGAGAGGUCAAAUUAUCACUUUUUGCUAUGCAUUCAGACAAGGCCCCUGGACCAGAUGGGAUGACAGCGCUUUUCUACCAUAAAUUCUGGGAUAUUGUAAAGCAUGAGUUAACUCUUAUGGUUAAUAAAUUCCUUUUUGAAGGGACGUUGGCGAAUGGACUGAAUGAUACAAAUAUAUGUCUCAUCCCAAAGACGGCCAAACCUAAUGAUAUGGCUCAAUUUAGACCCAUUAGUUUGUGUAAUGUCUGCUAUAAGAUAAUCUCCAAGGUCUUAUGCCAAAGAUUAAAGAAAGUGCUACCAGGUUUGAUUUCGGAAGCCCGGUCAGCUUUUGUUGCUGGAAGACAGAUUUCAGACAACAUUAUGAUUGCCCAAGAAAUGUUCCACGCUCUGAGGACUAAACCAAGUGGACGCAGUAAAAGGAUGGCCAUUAAGACGGACAUGAGCAAAACAUAUGACAGGAUGGAAUGGUCGUUCAUUGAAGUUGUCAUGCGUAAGAUGGGUUUUUCAGAAACAUGGAUCAGCUGGAUAAUGCGAUGCAUUACGUCGGUGAAAUAUAAGGUACUUAUGAAUGGACAGCCAAGAGGAAAUAUUGUUCCUGGUAGAGGCCUACGCCAAGGAGAUCAUUUGUCUCCUUUCAUUUUUAUUCUAUGCACGAAAGCGCUCGCUAGCCUUCUUAAUCAUGCAGAGAAUCAAGGGAAGAUAACGGGGAUGUGUGUCACACGCGCGUGUCUUUCGGUAUCCCACCUUCUCUUUGCUGAUGGGCCAAACCUAAUGAUAUGGCUCAAUUUAGACCCAUUAGUUUGUGUAAUGUCUGCUAUAAGAUAAUCUCCAAGGUCUUAUGCCAAAGAUUAAAGAAAGUGCUACCAGGUUUGAUUUCGGAAGCCCGGUCAGCUUUUGUUGCUGGAAGACAGAUUUCAGACAACAUUAUGAUUGCCCAAGAAAUGUUCCACGCUCUGAGGACUAAACCAAGUGGACGCAGUAAAAGGAUGGCCAUUAAGACGGACAUGAGCAAAACAUAUGACAGGAUGGAAUGGUCGUUCAUUGAAGUUGUCAUGCGUAAGAUGGGUUUUUCAGAAACAUGGAUCAGCUGGAUAAUGCGAUGCAUUACGUCGGUGAAAUAUAAGGUACUUAUGAAUGGACAGCCAAGAGGAAAUAUUGUUCCUGGUAGAGGCCUACGCCAAGGAGAUCAUUUGUCUCCUUUCAUUUUUAUUCUAUGCACGAAAGCGCUCGCUAGCCUUCUUAAUCAUGCAGAGAAUCAAGGGAAGAUAACGGGGAUGUGUGUCACACGCGCGUGUCUUUCGGUAUCCCACCUUCUCUUUGCUGAUGAUAGCCUUUUCUUCUGUAAGGAGCCCCGUGAAUGUGAAGAAGUAAUGAAAGUAGUCAGGACAUAUGGUAAAGCAUCUGGUCAAUGUAUUAAUUUUGAUAAAUCUUCCCUACUCUUUGGUAAGAGGAUUAAUACAACUACUAGGUAAGAGAUUAAAGAUGCACUUGGAAUACAUAAUGAUGGUGGGAUGGAAAAGUACUUGGGAAUCCCAGAGGAUAUUAGUGGUUCCAAAUGCAAUUUUUUUGCAUUUCUAAAGGAUAACCUGAUGCAUAGAGUAAAUGGAGGAUGGAAUGGUCGUUCAUUGAAGUUGUCAUGCGUAAGAUGGGUUUUUCAGAAACAUGGAUCAGCUGGAUAAUGCGAUGCAUUACGUCGGUGAAAUAUAAGGUACUUAUGAAUGGACAGCCAAGAGGAAAUAUUGUUCCUGGUAGAGGCCUACGCCAAGGAGAUCAUUUGUCUCCUUUCAUUUUUAUUCUAUGCACGAAAGCGCUCGCUAGCCUUCUUAAUCAUGCAGAGAAUCAAGGGAAGAUAACGGGGAUGUGUGUCACACGCGCGUGUCUUUCGGUAUCCCACCUUCUCUUUGCUGAUGAUAGCCUUUUCUUCUGUAAGGAGCCCCGUGAAUGUGAAGAAGUAAUGAAAGUAGUCAGGACAUAUGGUAAAGCAUCUGGUCAAUGUAUUAAUUUUGAUAAAUCUUCCCUACUCUUUGGUAAGAGGAUUAAUACAACUACUAGGUAAGAGAUUAAAGAUGCACUUGGAAUACAUAAUGAUGGUGGGAUGGAAAAGUACUUGGGAAUCCCAGAGGAUAUUAGUGGUUCCAAAUGCAAUUUUUUUGCAUUUCUAAAGGAUAACCUGAUGCAUAGAGUAAAUGGAUGGACAGGUAGAUGGCUCUCAAAAGGGGGGGGGGGAAGGAGGGAAUGAUCAAAUCCAUUUUACUCGCUGGUUAUGUCGACGUUUCUACUCCCAUUGGAGAUUUGUGAAAACCUCGCCAGCACCAUUGCACAAUUUUGGUGGAGUUCGAAUCCACCAAAAAGAGAAAUACACUGGGAGAAAUGGGAAAAGGUUUGUCUACCAAAAGAGAAGGGUGGGAUUGGCUUCCGUUUGAUUCAUGAGUUUAAUCUGGCUCUAUUGGCAAAGCAAUUAUGGAGAUUAGUUCAAUACCCUGAUUCACUGGUUGCCCGAGUCUUGAGGGGCAGAUAUUAUGGAAUGACCUCGCCAUUAAGACCAACCUCUAUAAGUAGUCCAUCAUAUUUGUGGACAAGCAUUUCUGCCGCAAGGAAGCUUUUGCUUUUGGGGAUCAGACAAAAGAUUCAUUCUUGUUAUGAAGUUAAGGUGUGUGAGGAUCUGUGGAUUCCAACGACACCUGCUAGACCAGCUAUACCUGUAGCGCCUGUGAUGCAUCUGAAUAUGAGAGUUAGUGACCUCAUUAAUCAGGAAUCGAAGGAAUGGGACGUAGGGCUACUAGAGGAUUAUGUCCAUCCUGAUGACAUGCCACUCAUCCGUAGUAUGACCAUAAGCUCUACUCAUCGUCGUGAUACUUUCUGUUGGAACUACACGACGAAUGGCCAAUACACAGUGAAAUCUGGAUACUGGGUUGCUCAAAAUCUGCUGAAUCCAGAAGAGGAAAAGGAAAUACUGGAACCAAGUAUCAUUAAACUUCAAGCCUUUGCUUGGAAGUUGAAAGCGCCAAGGAAGAUGUGCCAUCUUAUAUGGCAAUUGAUAACGGGUCAGGUGGCAGUAACGACGAAUCUAGUAAAGCGGAAUAUGAGGUGCGAUAAUUAUUGCCCAAGAUGUGGAGAAAUAGAAGAAUCUGUAACUCAUGCAAUAUUUGAAUGCCCUCAAGCUCUCCAAGUAUGGUCCUUAUCAGUAACUCUUACAAGCCCAGGUACAUUUCCAGUGUCAAGCGUCUACACAAACAUGGACUAUCUAUUAUGGAGGAAGAAUGAUAUCUUAGAACCAGGCCAAGACAGGGAUCCUUAUCCCUGGAUAGUAUGGUAUAUUUGGAAGGCUCGUAAUGAUAAACUCUUCAGGGGAAUAGACAGAGACCCUUUGGAACUAGUUCGGUACGCAGAAAGUGAAUGUCAAGCAUGGUUUAACGCAAAUGAGAUGAUACCACCAGUAGUACAGGCCAGCAAUAAUGAUGAAAACCAAGUCUUAAGCUCGGGUAAUAUUUGCAUGUUAGAUGGAUCUUGGACAGCUUCUGAUCGAUUUAGUGGAUGUGGAUGGGUCUAGAUGGAUAGUGGGGAGAACAUACAACUUAUGGGAACUCGGAAUUUCACUCGAUAUGAAUCAGCAUUGCAUUCGGAGGUAGAAGCACUGCGAUGGGCGAUGGAGAAUAUGCUUCAACACUCGCCAUGCCAGAGCUUUGGAACAGACUGCAAGGAGCUGAUUGCAAUGAUAAAGGAACCCCAGGAGUGGCCAAGCUUCGCAACAGAAUUAGAGAAGAUAAAGACGCUGAAGAUUUGUUUCCCGGACUUCAAGAUCACCCAUGUGCCACGAGUGCGCAACCGGUUUUCUGAUUUUUUAGCUAAGAAUGCUAUGACCUUUCGUACGAAGUUAUUUUUCAUUGGUUGUUCUAUUCCGGUCUGGUUACCCAGACCACCUCAAGCUUGAGUAAUAGAAUGGCCGUUCGACGUCAGAAAAAAAAAAAAAAAGAAGAGUAAGGAAUAAGUAAAAAAAAAUUUAAGAGAAUAGAUGUCAAGAACAGUAACAACAGCAUGUGUAGAGAUGGCAAAAGAAGAACCUGCCCGCGGGUCGGGCCCGUGUGAACUUGCUUUGGGUCGGGAUUGGGUUCUAAGACACAGGCCCGAAUUUGAAGCGGGCCUCACGGGUAAGGCUUGUGCGGUAUUGGACCAGACGCGGGAUUGGCUCGAUGAGUACCGCGGGACGCGCGGGGCUCCGCCAAAGACGAUCUCUUCCAGUUCGAACGGUGAUAGAAAUGGUGAUUGGUCAUCUCCGCCAAACACUGUUCUCCGCAAUUCCACCAUCCACGACUUCUAUGGCUUCCCUGAUCCCAUGUACAAGGUCUCUCUCUCUUCCUCUUUUUUCUUACCAGAACCCUAACUUUUGUCUCACCCAGAAUCUAGAUGAAUUAGGUUUUAUCCUAAGCCAUACCCACCGUUGAAGAAACACAUCAAUUUUCAAUCUGUGGUCAAUUAUAUCAAAAAAGUUUCAAUCUAUGUGGUCAUUUUUGAAACUUGCAGCUGAAAUAUGAAGCACCUGGAGCUAUUGAAUUGGGGAAGAGGGUAAAAGAAUUGUUAAUGGGAGAAGGAGGAAUGAAACGUGUUGAUGAAGAUAAAAACAGAGGACUGGAUCAUGGAGGUUGGGUUCCUCUUAUGCUGAUGUAUCCAGAGGUGGACAUACCUGUUUGCCAGCUCUCUGUUCAAUCAUCUCAAAGUGGGAUUUACCAUUACAACAUGGGCAAAGCAUUGGCUCCACUUAAAGACAAAGGUGUUCUUAUCAUUGGAUCAGGAAGUGCCACUCACAACUUGAGGAAGCUUGACUUUAAUAUAACUAAUGGCUCAGCUGUUCCUUGGGCUUUAGCGUUUGAUCAUUGGCUCAGAGAUUCUCUUCUUCAAGGAAGGUAUAAACUACAGUUACAAAUUUUUAUUUAUAUAUAUAUUUCUUGGUUAGCGUUACAAGAAUCAUUGAUUGUACGUAUUAUGUGUGUUAUAGAGCAAACCUCUGCUAUGUUUACAGGGCAGCUGGGAAACAGGAGAGCAUAAGACAGACUGCUGGAUCAUGUUUGGUCCGUCCUGCUCGUUUUAACCAAAGAAAAAGACAGUUAUGUGCAACAAUGUCUUAAUGUCCUGAUCAUAUAAACUCAAUUGAUUUUAGUCAUAUAUUUUCUAAAACUUUUUCUUUAUAAUGAUAUGUGAUGAGUGGGAGAUUGUAUUAUGAUCAAGGAGGAGAACAAUAUGAGAAUGCAAAGGACACUUCACACUUGCAUUCCGAUCUAUAAGGUAAAGGACCUCAGGUUAGUUUCUGUUCUAUUUAUUUAUUAUGUCGUCUCCAUUGCUUAUGAUAAGAGCUGAUAGAAUUUAGAUACUUGGUUACUAGUACAUAGAUCUCUUUGUUUCUUGUGUUGUUGUGUUGUUGUGUUCUUAUAGCUGAUAGAAUUUAGGUAAUAGGUUACUAGUACAUAGAUCUUUUUGUUUCUUGUGUUGUUGUGUUGUUGUGUUCUUAUAGCUGAUAGAAUUUAGGUAAUAGGUUACUAGUACUUGAUCGUCUAUGCGUGGAUGGUUGCUUGUUCUUGAUCGUCUCUUACAUAUGGUUGCUUGCUCUUGAUUGUUUAGUUUGAUAGUUUGAUAAGACUUGAGUAUGAGACUUGAUCUUUACGUAUGAUAGUUUAGAUAAUAAAAAUUUCUUAUAAUGGUUGAGUCUCUGACCAAUGAGAAAUAAGAGAAUAAUUGCUACAAUUUUUAAAAUUGCAUAAAAAUAUAAACAGAACCCUAAAAUAUUGACACGACUCACGACUACUACUCACGACCUAAGAAAAAAAAACGACGCAGAAACCUAAACUCUAACUCUAACGAAGAAGAGAGAAAGAGAUGACAGAUGAUGGUUCAAGUUUCGAUCCAAAUUUCACACCGUUGAAUACAAUGGAUUUAGAGAGCCAGCGAGUCCUUGGAGUUAUUUUGGCAGCUGAUGAGGCUGAUGAUGGUUCAUCUGAUGGAGCAAAAAAGAAGCAAAGAAAGAAGAGAAGGCUUAGUGAAGCUGCUGAUGAUGAAGAUGAUAGUGAUGUUGAAAUCACUCCUCCACCAACCCAAGCUACUACUCUGCGCAAACAAGCCACCUGCGGAACCGUGCGAGCCUUGAAAUCAAAGAAACCAAUGUUACAGUCUACUCUAGACGGUGGCAUUGGAUCGUCUUCGUCUCCUAAGGCGAGUAAAAGGAAAACCAAAACCAAAUCUAUUCAUUUUACCAUCCGUGNNNNNNNNNNNNNNNNNNNNNNNNNNNNNNNNNNNNNNNNNNNNNNNNNNNNNNNNNNNNNNNNNNNNNNNNNNNNNGGGGGGGGGGAGGGAAAGCUCCAGGCCGACACAAGGUAAUGGUAAAAAUAAGAAGAAGAUUCAAGAGGAGCAGCUUGAUUCGGAAGGUGAAUUUGAAGAGGACGAGAUGGAGAACGAGAUGGAGAACAAGAAGGAGGGUAGGCAGUGGUCUGAUGUAUGGCCCCAUUUUACUAAGAUUCAAAAUUCCAAUGGUGAGCAGAAAGCUAAAUGCAAUUAUUGUAAGAAUGACUAUGCAUGGACUUCCCACGGGCAUGGAACAAGUGGUUUGAGAAGGCAUCGUGACAGAUGCAAACUCUUUCCAAGGAAUCUCCGAACAAAAAAACUCGAUGCUGAAGCCAAAUUAGUAAGUGGCAAGUAUGAUCAUGUUGUGUUCAAGCAGCUGGUAACCAAGACUAUAAUCCAGCAUGACCUACCUUACUCAUAUGUUGAGUAUGAGCAAGUCAGAGAAACUUGGAAGCACUUGAAUCCUGACGUCAAAUUCUUUUGUCGGAACACAACUAAAGCAGAGGUCUAUCGGUUUUAUGAAAACGAGAGAGAGACAUUGAAGAGGGAAUUGGCUAGUCUUCCAGGAAGAGUAAGCUUCACUUCUGAUUUGUGGUCAUCACUGAAACGGGAGGGUUAUAUGUGUCUGACAGCACAUUACAUUGACCGAAAUUGGAGGCUGAACAGUAAAAUACUGACUUUUUGUGCUCUCCCACCGCCUCACACAGGUAUGAAUGUUGCUUUAAAGCUUCUUAAAUCUGUGGAAGAGUGGGGAGUAGAGAAAAAAAUGUUUUCUCUCACAUUAGACAAUGCUACAAGUAAUGAUUCGAUGCAAGAUAUAGUGAAAACUCAGGUGCUUUUGAGCAAUGAUUUGUUAUGUGGAGGUGAGUUUUUUCACGUCAGAUGUGCAGCUCACAUACUCAACCUCAUUGUGCAAGAUGGUUUGAAGGUUAUUAAAGACUCUUUGCACAAAAUUAGAGAGAGUGUUAAGUAUGUAACAGCGUCAGAGACGCGUGAGAUGACGUUUGCAAAAUGCGUGGAUGCUGCUGGUAUAAAGGAGAAUGCUGGUUUGAUAAUGGAUGUGCAGACAAGAUGGAAUUCGACAUUCUAUAUGUUUGAAAGAGCCCUUCCGUACCGUGAAGCGUUUGUUAAGUUGGAGAUAUAUGAUAGGAGAAACUAUAAGGUUUUGCCUACAGCUACAGAAUGGAGUAGAGCUGCGAAAAUAUGUGUUUUCUUGGAGCCUUUUGCUAAGAUUACUAGUUUGAUGUCAGGUUUGAAAUACCCAACAUCGAACUUGUAUUUCUAUCAGGUAUGGAAGAUCCAUAAUUGGCUGCAGAUAAAUGAGGAAAGCGAUGAUGAGAUUAUCCGAGAGAUGGUGAUACCGAUGAAAGAGAAGUUUGAUAAGUACUGGGAAGAAGUCAGUGAUCUUUUUGCAAUGACAGCUGUCUUUGAUCCACGCUUGAAGCUUCCAGUUGUAGAAUAUUGUUUAGGGAGACUUGACAUGAGUACACGUGAUGCGAAAAUGAAGAACUUGCGUUUGAAGCUGGAAACUUUGUUUCAAUCAUACGACAAAAAAUCAAAGUCAACAUCACCUUCUGCAGAGCCUCGCGAGAUGGAUCAACAAAAUGUUUGUGGAGGACCGAAAGGAACAUUUGAGAACUAUGGUGUAAGUCUCCUGUUUCGUUUUUUUUUAAAUUACUUAUGAACCUGCGGUAGAUAUAGAUAGCUUUGAAAGUUUUGAUAUUCCAUCAAAUUUUUUUUAAAAUUUUUUUUAAACACUACAGGAUUUUUUUGCGUUUCGCAAAAGUAGUGUUGCUGCGAGUGGAAAGACAGCUCUCCAAGCUUAUUUGGAUGAACCUGCGCUAGAUAUGGAUAGCUUUGAAAGUUUGGAUAUUCUCGACUGGUGGAAAGAUAAUACUCACAGGUUUGGUGAUUUGCCAGCAAUGGCUUGUGAUCUGCUUAGCAUUCCGAUCACAACAGUGGCUUCAGAAUCCUCCUUGAGCAUCGGUUCGAGAGUUCUGAACAAAUACAGGAGCCGUCUACUUCCCAAAAAUGUGCAGGCUCUGAUAUGUAGUAGGAAUUGGCUAAAAGGAUUCAAAGCUUAUGAACAUGGUAAAUUAUUCACUUUGUUAUAUAUUUUAGGGUGUCAUGUUCUUUAAAUCUAAUUAACUUCGAUUUUUAAUAUUUACAGAAGAUGAAAUGGAUGGUGAAGAAGAGAUAGUUGAAGUUGAAGAAGAAGAAACUUGAUUUUUAUUUUGAUCUGGUGUUUUUAUUUUAUUCGCAUUAUGGAUUUUGUGGCGCUCUUUUUUCCUUGUCGGGUUUUGUCCCAAUGGGUUUUCCCGAUAAGGUUUUUACCGAGGCCACGUUACAUUGCUUGAAUUUUGUUUGGGUGUUCAUUUACAUUACUUGGAUUUGAUUACUUAGAUUUGGCGUUGUUACUUAAUGUCAUUCUUAUGCAUACACAUCAAUGCAUACGCAUCAAAGUUUAUUUCUGUUUUAGUUUCUUGUUGAUACUACAUGCCAUUCAACAAAGGAGACAAACUAUUAAGUUUUCUUAUAUCGUUUGAAAACACAAGUAUUAAGUUGCUUGAACUAAACUAUUUUGUUGCUUCUGUCUUUUAAUAGGUUUGACUUCUUCUUUUUUUUAACAACUUAAUAAGUUUGACUUCUAAGUUGUUAUAAUGCUCGUUAAGUUGAACUGAAGUAUGAACACAAGAAUAAUGUUUGUACAAGGAACUUGCAUUCAAAUAAAAACUUUGAAAUGAGGACUCGUUAUGUUAAGUAAUCUAUGUUUGUUACGUUUGUAUUGAACACAAGAGUAAUGUUAUGUAAGAUACGUUUCUGAAACGUAUGAUAGAGGUUCAUAUACUUGUUUUGUUGAUCUUCUGGUCAAAAGCUAUAGUUAAGCAUGGAAUGAGACGUUUGGGUGAUGUUAUCAUGCAAAGACUUACGAAAACAUCUUCUGAACAAUUGUUUGUUGCAGGAAAUAACACACGUAUAGUACAUGGAACACCAUUCAACUUCUAAAUGGUGACCCGCGGGCUUGCCCGCAAAGACCUGUGCACUAGGCGGGGCGGGAUUGGUCAAUGCUUCUUGGAACCGCAUCCCGCGGCGGGCCAGCCCGCUGUGACCCGACUGAACUUGAGCCCGUGGCGGGGCGGGCCAUUUGGUUGCGGGUGAGCUCGUUUGCCAUCUCUAAGCAUGUGCAUAUGAAGAAAUGUUAUCGGCUAUCUUUAAAUUGUAAAAUUAUGGUUAAGAUGUUUUUACAAACUGCAACUAACUGAAAUUAGGAGGUGUAGAAAACAAUUAAUCAAAUUUAAUUUCAAAUGUAAAUUUUUUUUCUUUUCCUAAUAUUGAUGCAAUAUGCACUAAAUAAAUUAUUAAUGAAGUUUUUUUAAUAAAUAAUGAUUAUUAAAAUCUUUCAAGCUAAUGCAGUAAAUGUUAAAUUAUCAAUAAACCAUUCCUUACACACAGCUGUCAAAACAGACAAUAAAUCACUGUAUAUAGUAACGUAUUACUGAAAACAGUGUCCAAUUAUGGCUGUUAUUUGUUUACUCUGGUACUUGUUAACUUCUCGCAACAGACAUUUCCCAUCAAAAUCAAUUUCAGAUGCAAAUAAUUUUUUGUUUUUUGCUUCAAGCAUGAUGUAUAAACACUAAAUUUCAACGUUAAUUUAUCACACAAUUUUUAGAUAAAGUUUAAACAUUUGCAUUUUUCGAAUUUUAUUUUUUCCCCAAGAAACUCCUAACGUCUUAGAAAUAUGCUUAUAUGAAAGAAAAUAGAAAUUCCUAGAAAAAUAACUAAAUGGUACAAACUAAUAUUGAAAAAUUUAACAUAUUUUGACCAUAUUCUUUUCUGAAUUCUUAAAUCACCUUUUAUCUCAAUACACCAUUUUCUCAUAUAUCCGUUUUUUUUACUGUAAGUAGUACAGUGUUUUCUUUCGAAACUUAAGUAGUACAGUGUUACCAGCCUCACACAUUUCUUACCACUAUAUCAAUAGAGACCAUCACACAUUUCUCACCACUAUCACACUCAUAAAAGCUCUUACUCUUUCCUAUAAAGACAGAAACUGAAAACACAGUUACUCACUUAACGUCCCUAAAACCUCCGAAAUAAAAUUCCAUGUUGCCUCCGUCAACAUCCCCACGGCAACCAUCGUCACAUCAUAUGGACUUACCGACUCCACAAUCACCAGAUAAAUCCCCCGCGACGAUUCUCCUCGGCAAAUACGAACUCGGUCGCCUGCUCGGCAGCGGUAGCUUUGCCAAAGUCCAUGUGGCUCGUUCCAUCGAAACCGAACAACUUAUGGCCGUCAAAAUCAUCGACAAGAAGAGAACCGCCAAGGCCGGUAUGGAGCCGAUGAUAAUCCGGGAGAUCGAAGCCAUGCGCCGCCUCCAACACCAUCCUAACGUCCUCAAAAUCCACGAGGUCAUGGCCACUAAAACAAAGAUCUAUCUCGUCAUGGAGCUCGCGGCCGGCGGAGAGAUUUACACCAAGAUUCGCGAUUCUGGCCGCCUUAAGGAAUCGGAGGCGCGCCGCUACUUCCAGCAGCUCGUCUCGGCGCUCACUUUCUGCCACCGAGAGGGAAUCGCUCACCGCGACGUGAAGCCGCAGAAUCUCCUCCUCGACAAGGAGGGCAACCUCAAGGUCUCCGACUUCGGUUUAUCCGCUUUGCCGGAGGACCGUAGGAGCACCGGAAUGCUCCACACAGCUUGCGGCACGCCGGCUUACACAGCGCCGGAGGUGAUUGCUCAUAGAGAUUACGACGGCGCGAAGGCUGACUCGUGGUCGUGUGGCGUCUUCCUCUACGUUCUUCUCGCGGGUUACGUUCCUUUUAAUGAUUCCCAUAUUGUACUAAUGUACAGGAAGAUCCAAGGGAGAGAUUACAAGUUCCCAAACUGGAUCUCGAAACCUGCUCGAUCCAUCAUCUACCGAUUGCUCGAUCCGAAUCCAGCAACGAGGAUGAGUAUCGAAGCUGUAACUGAAACCAAAUGGUUCAAGAAAUCCCUUGAAACCUCCGAGUUUAAACCCAAUGUCUUGGAAUCGGAUGA
rnacentral:lncRNA from 1 species